rnacentral:rRNA from 1 species
ACAAGCAGCGGAGCGUGUGGUUUAAUUCGAUGCAACGCGUAAGAACCUUACAGGGUUUGACAUGCUUAAAGUAGAAACUCGAAAGAGGGACGACCUGUAUCCAAUCAGGAAUUUGCACAGGUGCUGCAUGGCUGUCGUCAGCUCGUGCCGUGAGGGUGUUACGGUUAAGUCCUGCAACGAGCGCAACCCUCGUCGCUAGUUAAUUUCUCUAGCGAUACUGCCCGUAUAACGCGGAGGAAGUGGGGAUGACGUCAAGUCAGCAUGGCCCUUACAUCCUGGGCUACACACACGCUACAAUGGGUGAUACAACAGGUAGCAAAAGAACAAUCUGGAGCCAAUCCAAAAAAUCAUCCUCAGUUCGGAUUGCAGGCUGCAACUGCCUGCAUGAAGUUGGAGUUGCUAGUAAACGCAGGUCAGCACACUGCGUUGAAUACGUUCUCGGGCCUU